GCUAGGCCUAGUUUGGAAGCGGUAUUCCCCGUCGGGAUCCCUGCCAUAUCCCCGCGCCUGCAGCCCACGCGGAAACUUUCCACGGGCCAACAGACUGGCGCCUUUGGAAGCCUGCUCGGCAGGGGACUCCGGCUCGUCGGAGCCAAUUUUCCCCGUGGAAUAGCGCCCGACCUACAGACACCGGGCAGCGCUCCCCGUCUCCGUCUCCCCGUUCCUCAUCUCGUGCGAGCGGGAGAAGCGCCGCCACCACCACCUGCUGAUCUCCCCCUCCGACGUCGCAUCUGCAGCUUCUCCUCCGCCAUAGACUCCGGAUCUACUACAACCUCCACCUCCGCAUCAGGUGAAUCCACCUCCAUCCCCUUCUCCCUAGCCUCCGCUAGGGUUUGUCCUCUCGCACACCUUUUCUGUAGAUCCUGCGGAGGAAGACUGCAGCCAUGAGCGGAUCUCGAGCGAGCAGAUGAUCUCCUCCGCCUUCUCCAGCACUGCGCGCGACUCCAUUGAACCUCCGCCUCCGCAUCAGGUGAGCCCGCGUCUCCCUGCCUCCUCACACAGUUUCUCGUAGAUCUUGGGGAGGAAAAGUUGCGGCCACGAUCUGGAGCAGAUGCGCUCCAUUGAAGCACCCACCCUCUCCGAUAAGCAGAACAACACAGCUCCAUUCCCAUUCCAGCUGUGAAGAAACUUCCUUCUGGGCCCAUCCCCCAUGCCUGCCAGCCGUCGUUCACCCUUAUCCAAGCAUGCAGUGCGCUUGGUGGAAGCAAUACAUGAUCUGAGGAAAAAAAUGAAGUGAUGCAUAUUGCACUGAAUCAACAUGGCAGUUUACAAGACCUUUUGAUGCUCUGCACAUAUGUUCUUUGUAUCAUGCAAGUGGGUGGUACUGUAUGACUGUAGAAAUUCUGAAAAGUUGUAGCCCUUCUCAAUAUUGUAACCUCUUUUGUUGUCAGUUGUCAUAGACAACUUGUGAGCGUAAGUUGUAAGAACCUAUAUGUGCACAGAUCUUUUGUUUUUUUUAAAAAAAAAUUAUGUAAGGGUGCCGCGAAGUAUAGCCUAAAUUUUGUUUGUGUAGUGCUGGGGAAGUUCAGUA